GACGUGGGGGGCCAGCGUUGUUCGGAAUUACUGGGCGUAAAGCGCGCGCAGGCGGUUUUCCAAGUCAGUGGUGAAAGCCCGGAGCUCGACUCCGGAACUGCCAUUGAAACUGUUAAACUUGAGGACGAGAGAGGUGAGUGGAAUUCCCAGUGUAGAGGUGAAAUUCGUAGAUAUUGGGAAGAACACCAGUGGCGAAGGCGGCUCACUGGCUCGUAUCUGACGCUCAGGCGCGAUAGCGUGGGGAUCAAACAGG
rnacentral:rRNA from 1 species